rnacentral:rRNA from 1 species
UACGUAGGGGGCAAGCGUUGUCCGGAAUCAUUGGGCGUAAAGCGCGCGUAGGCGGCCCGGUAAGUCCGUUGUAAAAGUCGAAGGCUCAACCUUCGAAAGCCGAUGGAUACUGCCGGGCUAGAGUCCGGAAGAGGCGAGUGGAAUUCCUGGUGUAGCGGUGGAAUGCGCAGAUAUCAGGAGGAACACCUAUAGCGAAGGCAGCUCGCUGGGACGGUACUGACGCUGAGACGCGAAAGCGUGGGGAGCGAACAGG